AAGUCGUAACAAGGUUUCCGUAGGUGAACCUGCGGAAGGAUCAUUACCACGUUCCAAACGUUAUCAACCCCGCGAACUGUUUCUAUCUCCCAUCGGGCGAGAAUGAGCUGAAUGACAUCCUGUCGUGUGUGUGAGAUGUCCCGUUGUCAUGACGGGCUCUGGCAGGUGGCAAACAACUUAGCUGAGAGCUGAAAUAUGCAGGAGGCUAGACGGCUGUAUCUCGAUCUGGUGGCUUUUUUCCUUCUAUUCGGCUCGCCGCACCGGCUGAAUAGUGAGGAGCCUAUUACAAACUAUAUUCACCGCUCCUGAUAGUUGACUGAUCUGUCAGCCUGUGUUGAAAGGCCAGUGCUGGCACGUUUAAGUAAUUGAACGUAAAACUACCUAUACAACUGUUAGCAAUGGAUGUCUAGGUUUCC
rnacentral:misc_RNA from 1 species